CGCGUAGGUGGUUCGUUAAGUUGGAUGUGAAAUCCCCGGGCUCAACCUGGGAACUGCAUUCAAAACUGACGAGCUAGAGUAUGGUAGAGGGUGGUGGAAUUUCCUGUGUAGCGGUGAAAUGCGUAGAUAUAGGAAGGAACACCAGUGGCGAAGGCGGCUUCCUGGACCAAUACUGACGAUCAGGUGCGAAAGCGUGGGGAGCAAACAGGAUUAGAUACCCCUGUA
rnacentral:rRNA from 1 species